AAUAUUAAGAAAAAAACAAAAGUUUCAAACGUUUUUCGAUUAUAUUAUCCUGUAAAAAAGACAAAAGUUGUGGAUCUGAUCAAAAGUUUUAAAUUUAGUCUCUCUAAUGCUCACCUUGACGAAAAUCAUUUGUGGCUUUAGAGAUCUCACUAAUUAGUCAUAAUAAGUAACACACUGGAUUAGCGGUUGACGUUUUGGGUGUUUCAAUCCUCUUUUCUUCUCCAUUUCCAUAGAGGAGAGGGUGCAUGAUAAGAGAAGAUAUGAAUCUGUAGCGAGACAUCGGUGUCGUUGUUGUGAUUGGGCUCAGAUAGGUGUAAAACCAACAAUCGGCCUAUGUUUGGGUUUGUCUGAAGGCGAACGGAAGCUAGAAGAAGCCACUGAACCGUUGAAGAAGCAUCAUCGCCGGAGGAGCUAACUGAAUCUCUCGACAUACUUGGCAAUUUUGGACACCUGUCAACACCUGGAUUGUUCUGUGUUUUUUUUCUUCUUGGUUUUGUUUUGAAGCGGAAAUGUGAACUGGGCUUUAUAGUAUUUGUGCAUGAAGCCCGGAGUGAAGCCCAGUCUCCUUUACGCUGUCUUAACCCACAAGUGUUUAGGGUUUUCUCCCAUUUUCUUCUCGCGGCUCGAACUCACCGACGAAACCAAUGUUUGGCUCAGAUCGCCGUUCCGAUAUACAUAACGCCUCAGAUUUCCAUAUGGAGGCCACUACAAGCUCCUCCUUCGAACCGUCUUUGUCAUUUUUUUUUGGAAAAGCUCUCCGUCGUCUGUAUACUUCUCUGUUCCACUGAAAAAACUAGAACGAUAUGUAAAGUUUUAUUCACAAUUGAGAACUCUAUUAAAUUUCACCAUUAAGUCACUCCGUCUAGCCCACUACUCGAAUUUAAUUACUACUCUUCCCAUCUUCUUUGCAAAUCCCUAAUUUUCCAUACUAUAAAUAGUGGUGCAGCCAUCUCCAUAUCUCAUCGUUUCACCAGAUUCAUUUCGUCCUUAUAGUGUUGACGCGUCUCAUGCGUUUCUGGGAAGCAUGUUUUUGCUUGAUGAAAAGGUUUGCUUUCUUCGUGUGUUUCCCAAUUUUCAGUUAAAGCUUUUCCAAGGUUCCAUCUAUGUUCAUCGCCUUAAUACUUUCAAACAUCUCUGUUCAGUGGGUUUGAUGCUACGAGAAGCAACCACCACUUCAAGAAACAAAAUCACCUGUCACAAUAUGCUUCACUGACCUAACUAAGUUUGUUGAGAUUCCGGCAGGACCUGCUCCAGUACCCCUGGAGUUCUUUAGUUUUUGUCUUUAUGAGAAACUCAUGGAAUUGGCAAACAAAAAUACUCGAUUUUUAGGCAUCAUAGGGGAGGUGACUCAGGUGAGCAACGUCAAUAUAACUUUUAAUGAGGAAUCACAAACAACUCAACACAUAAUGGAGGCCAUCCAAAUUGACGGGUACUUGAGUGUUUCAGGACCACUAAAAUGUUAAUAUAUCCUCUUGGUUUGAUUGUAUACUACCAAACUUGAAAUAUGCAUCAUGACAUCUACAUACUUCAUUUUCUGUUAAUAUAUUUCCAACCUUCUAAAGUGCUCUACAAUAUCUACUACUGUCUGUCUAAGUGUCUUUGAUGUCCAGGCCAGCAAACUCCACCAGAACUUAGAUGGGGUUGGUGUGGAGCCUAAGUUCAUUAAUAUCAAAGAACAUUAAUCCAAAAUUUGUAGGAGGACGCUUAUAUUUGAAUGCAAUUUCAGGGACCAAUUUCCACUUCGACAAAGAACUUCGGUGAGGAUGGUGUCACCAGCUCUGCAAGUUAUACCAAAUAUGGAGAUGUUCAGAAAAUUGAAACUGUUACGGUGCUCAAGCUUAAUGCGUACGUGCUGAAAUCUCGCUGCAGGUUUCUGAGUUCCUUUGCACCAACAAAGUAGAGGCCACUGAAACCACCAAUGGAUGGUGCUACAUUUUCUGCUACAAAUGUUCAAGAAAGCUACAGCGAGGAUUCCCUUCAUUCACAUGCACCUAUUGUCAUAACUCUAGCACUAUUGGUGUUGUCAGGUAUUGCCCGGUAGAUUUAUCUCACUUCUCACUUUUUAAAAUAUUCACUAAACAAGCCAUCUAACACUCUCCCAUUGGCGUUUUAAAAUUUUGCAAACCGUGUGGAGAUUUGUGUCUCUGAUGCGAGAGAGUCAUCCAUGUUUGACUACAAAUUGGUAUUUCAAUAUUUACAUACACAAGCUACGUAAUGAUGUCUACAUUCUUUUCAUUAAAAUGCAGGCUGCAAGUGUUGCAGACCCUCUAGAGUCUGAGGUUUCACAAUUUCUCCAAGAAAUAGUUGUGAGACGUUUGAUUUUCAAUUGAAGCUUUUUGAGUUCAUUUUCAACUCCAAACAUCAAUCAUUCACUGUGUCCCACAUAUUUUAUUGUCAUCAGCGUCCCCUACUGAAACUUUUACUUAGGAAAGUUUUACGCCCUAUUUGGCGUGACUGGGAAAGAAAUUGGUGUGUUUUCAGUCGCUGGGAAGUGAGAAGGAAUAUGCAGGGACAGCACUAUCACCGGAUUCAUUUGAUUAUUUAGUCCCCGCGUCUUUUGUUUCAAACUCCAAAUGAAGAAAAUAUCAUUAACAUUUUCUGUC